CAGCACCCUGUGAGAUGGGCAGGGGAAUUUCUUUCCUGCCAUUUUGCCUAUGGGGACACAGAGACCUUGGAAUGUCAAGUGACUUCUCUGAGGCUACAAGGCUAGGAAGUGGCAAAAGCAGGAAGGAACUGGAGCUAAUGUCUGCAUCUACAUCAUGAUUGGCCCAAGACACUAGCACCCUCAACCCCCAAGCUUUCUAUGUGUAUUGGCAAGACAGCUCACUGCUGGAGAAACCAAUCCUGGAGGAAAUUCUGCCAUGAACAGGGAGCCUCACCCCCUCAACAGUGAUGAAUGACUUUCAUAAACAUGAAUAGUUUCUGAGAAGGUGUCCUCUUGCCUGGGGUCCUACUUCAGAUGGCCAAGUUGGAAGGACAUAACCGCACUGCCGGGAAAUCCAGGCCAGGUCAGACUCCAUAACAUGCUUCAAAAUGUGAGAGCCCCAGUCUGCUAGCAUGGUCUCGGAGAUGGAGGGAGCCGCAGCCUCUGAGUAGAUCCUGACCCAGCAUUCCAUGGCAGUAUCCUUUGGAAAGAAACUUUCACCAAACCUGAUAGGAACCUCUCCUCAAGGACUGCUAAGUCAGGAAAUGGGGUAUGCAGGGUCUGGAAGUUGGAAGCUGGCCGCAUCCCCCAAAUGAGCAGGUCCAAGACACUUAUUCAUACAUCAGGAAAACCAGGGUCCAGAGAUGAGAGAAAUCCAAGGCUUGCAGCCACUUGGACGGUUACCCAGGGCCAUCAGCAUCUACUAGCCAGGAGGAGGCUGGGACAUUCGGGAGACAAUGGAGAGAAGGAAAUAGAAGGAAGAGGGCUGGGGCUCCCAGCAGUCUAAUUACAGGGUCCCAAGGCCCAGCAGUCUUUUGGGGAGAAAAAUCUGUUGGACUUGGACAAAUCAGCUGCACAGUGUUAACCUUCCAGAGACUGAACUCUCUCCCCAUUUCCAGGAAUCUAAUCUUUGAUGUAUCUUUGGAUAACUUUUAAAAAAUAAAUCCUGAAUAAUCUUAGAUGAUUGUAAGGAUCUGGGUAUAUCACCACCUCUCCCCACAU
rnacentral:lncRNA from 1 species